rnacentral:rRNA from 1 species
UACGUAGGUGGCAAGCGUUGUCCGGAUUUACUGGGCGUAAAGAGCGCGCAGGCGGUCGAUCAAGUCGCGUGUGAAAGCCCCCGGCUCAACUGGGGAGGGUCACGCGAUACUGUUCGACUUGAAGGCAGGAGAGGGCAGCAGAAUUCCCGGUGUAGUGGUGAAAUGCGUAGAUAUCUGGAGGAACACCGGUGGCGAAGGCGGCAUCCUGGACCGACACUGACGCUGAGGCGCGAAAGCUAGGGUAGCAAACGGG